UACGUAGGGGGCAAGCGUUGUUCGGAAUUACUGGGCGUAAAGCGCGCGUAGGCGGCUCUUCAAGUCAGGCGUGAAAGCCCCGGGCUUAACUCGGGAACUGCGCUUGAUACUGUCGAGCUAGAGUGUGGAAGGGGCGAUUGGAAUUCCGUGUGUAGCGGUGAAAUGCGUAGAUAUCGAGAGGAACACCUGCGGCGAAGGCGGGUUGCUGGGCUGACACUGACGCUGAUGCGCGAAAGCCAGGGGAGCGAACGGG
rnacentral:rRNA from 1 species